UGGGGAAUCUUGCGCAAUGGGCGAAAGCCUGACGCAGCGACGCCGCGUGGGGGAUGAAGGCCUUCGGGUCGUAAACCCCUUUCGGCAGGGACGAAGCCUUACGGUGACGGUACCUGCAGAAGAAGCCUCGGCUAACUACGUGCCAGCAGCCGCGGUAAGACGUAGGAGGCGAGCGUUGUCCGGAUUCAUUGGGCGUAAAGCGCGCGUAGGCGGCUUGGCAAGUCGGAUGUGAAAACCCGAGGCUCAACCUCGGGCGUGCAUCCGAAACUGCCAGGCUAGAGGUAGGUAGGGGAGAUCGGAACUCCUGGUGUAGCGGUGAAAUGCGCAGAUAUCAGGAAGAACACCGGUGGCGAAGGCGGAUCUCUGGGCCUUACCUGACGCUGAGGCGCGAAAGCUAGGGGAGCGAACAGG
rnacentral:rRNA from 1 species